AAACAGGAACAUAAGAACUAAAAGUUUAAAGGUAUAGCGCGUAGUUUCUGUCGUUCCCAUGAGGAAUUCUAAGUAAUGACAACAACACUGUCAGCGCAUCCACACAAUGCAAGCCUUCGGUGAUUCCCACCCCCACCCCUCCUCCAUUCAGUUGAUAGUAGUUUAUCCUGUCAAAUCAAGGAGGACAUGGAGGUUUAAAAAAAACAUGACUGACUCUUCAGAAGAGGUAAUUAUCUUGUAAUUGUUAUGUCAUCCUUGUCUCCAAAGCUGAACGCUGAUGUUUUCCUUU